AUUGAACGCUGGCGGCAUGCCUUACACAUGCAAGUCGAACGGUAACGCGGGGCAACCUGGCGACGAGUGGCGAACGGGUGAGUAAUGUAUCGGAACGUGCCCAGUUGUGGGGGAUAACUGCUCGAAAGAGCAGCUAAUACCGCAUACGACCUGAGGGUGAAAGCGGGGGAUCGAAAGACCUCGCGCAAUUGGAGCGGCCGAUAUCAGAUUAGGUAGUUGGUGGGGUAAAGGCGCACAAAGCCAACGAUCUGUAGCUGGUCUGAGAGGACGACCAGCCACACUGGUACUGGGACACGGCCCAGACUCCUACGGGAGGCAGCAGUGGGGAAUUUUGGACAAUGGACGCAAGUCUGAUCCAGCCAUGCCGCGUGCGGGAAGAAGGCCUUCGGGUUGUAAACCGCUUUUGUCAGGGAAGAAACGCUCUGGGUUAAUACCUCGGGGUAAUGACGGUACCUGAAGAAUAAGCACCGGCUAACUACGUGCCAGCCGCCGCGGUAAAAC
rnacentral:rRNA from 1 species